UCAGAAAAGCCUUUCAGCUGCUCUCAGUGUGGAAACACUUUCAUGACCAAUGAAAACCUUAAGGAUCACAUGCUAAUUUAUGCUGAAAUAAAGCCUUAUACCUGCUCUCUGUGUGGAAAGAGUUUUACACAGAGAGGACACCUUAGAAAUCAUUUGUUAAGUCACAGUUCAGAAAAGCCUUUCAGCUGCUCUCAAUGUGGAAAGUCUUUCAAACAAAAACAAAGCCUUAUGAAUCACGUGAGAAUCCAUAGUGGGGAGAAAACCUUUCAGCUGUUUUUGGUGUGGAAACCCUUUCAUGUGUAGCGAAAACCUUAAGAAUCGCAUGCGAAUUCAUGCUGGAUUUAAGACUUUUACCUGCUCUCCUUGUGGAAGGAGUUUUACACAGAAAGGAUACCUUGAGACUCAAGUUAAGUCAUGCUGGUUAAAAGCCUUUCAGCUACUCUGUGUGGAAAGUCUUUCACAUAUAAAGGAUAUCUUAUGAAACACAUGAAAAUCCAAAGUGGGGAGAAGCCUUUCAGCUGUAAACAGGGAUUUAAUCAUCACAUGAGAAUUCACACUACAGCGAUGCCUUACCAGACAAUUCAUAAAAUUUAAAAGCCUCACGUCGGUCUUGUUUGUGGAUGAUUUCUGUAACUUAAUUUUAAUGUGUACAUUGGUUCCACACGGACAGAAUGUGGAAAACUGGCUUUAAUUGUCCUCUUUUUCUCAAAUAAUUAUAGCUUGUCAAACUAAAAUUAAUUAAUUCAAAUUAGACUACUUAAUAGUCAUGUUGAUUCAAGAUAUUAUUUGUCAUUAUUGUAAAACAAAUGUAUUAUGUCCCAUUAAAGUGAUUUCAUAAUUUCAUCAUGUCUCUGGUACCAGAGUUGUGUAAACUGAACUUGCUUCAAGUAAGCUCCCUCCAAAUGUACUGUAGACAUUUUCAAAUAUGUGUGUGUAAAUACAAAAUCAUGAGUUUAAAAAUAAAUAUUGCCAUUUGCAAGUGUUGGUAGUUAAGUUUUGUUGUAUUUUGGUAUUGAAUUGAUUACAAAGAGGAAUUAAAACAAAAACACUUUAAAUGCUUCAUCAUAGUGUAUUCAAACACAACGUCAUGAUGCAAACAACACGGUUGUUUUCAGAAUAUAUUCACAAAACUGAUGUAAAUUCUGCAUUGAAGUGAAUGAGUGAAGUGAUGUGUUGCUAAGUACAGGUGUUUCUCAAUUAAUUUGAAUGUCAUGAAAAAUUAUUUUAUUUCAGUAAUUCAACUCAAAUUGUGAAACUGGUGUAUUAAAUAAAUUCAAUGCACA